CUGUGUAAGUCACUCUCCCACUUGGUCUCUCUACUCCUCUUGAGGGAUGCAGAGCUCGAGCAGCAACUCCCCUGCAUUAAAAAAAUUAAAAUAAGACAUUA